rnacentral:lncRNA from 1 species
AUGGCCGCACGGCUGAGCCCCUCCAGCACACCACGCAUGCAAUGGAAGGGGCUAACAGUGACCACAGACACUUCCCAAGCAUGUGCCGGGCAGCGAGGAGGUGGCAGUGGCGGGGACAGCUGGGGAGAGGGACAACCUGCGGGUGUCGGGGUGGGCGGCAUCGCUGCUGAAGAGGUAGUCGGCAUCCUGCCAGCGGGUGAGCAGCCCUCCGCCAGCCACUGCAGGAGGAAGAACCAGGGUGAGGAUGACGGGAGGCAACCCAGUGUGUGUCCACACACUCCAAGACAUCCUCAGACCCCGAUUUGUCCCCACAUUCCAUUGAGUAUGUCCCCAAUGUGUCCCUGCACACCCCAACAUGUCCCUAGACACCAACGAAUUUCCACACACCCCCAUUUCCAUGCACCCCCCACUGUGCCCCCCCAAACACACUCCAUGUCGCCACAUACCCUCAACAUGUCCCCACAUAUCCCAGUGUGUUCACCCACAUCCCAGUGUGCCCCCCAACACACCAAUGCAUCCCCACACCUCAAUGUGCCACCCCCCUCAUGUGUCCCCUGCACCCCAAGACAGCCCCACACACCCCAACAUGACCCCAGACCCUCAAUGUGUCCCCACACCCCAAAACGUCCCCAUAUGCCCCAAUGUGUCUCCACACCCCCAAUGUGUUCCCCCACACACCUCAGUGUGCCCCCCAGUGUGUCCCCACAGACCACUGUGCCCCCACACACCACAAGACAACCCCACAGCCCCCCAGUGUGUCCCCCACACACACCUGUGGGUCUCCACAUACUCCAUGGCUCGACACGCCAUUGCAUCCCCACACCCCAAUGUGUCUCCAUACCACCAUGUCCCCACAUACCCCAAUGUGCCCCCCCACUAAUGUGCCCCCCACCUCGAUGUCCCUACACAUGCCACGAGAGCCCUCCCCACCCCAUUUUGUCCCCAAACACCCCAACACAUUCCCACACAUCCCAAUGUUUCCCCAAGCCCCACUCAUUCCAGUGUGUCCCCACACCCCAGUGUGUCCCCCCACCACCCCAAUGUGUCCCCACACACACCAGUGGGGCACUACAUACCCCUUGUCCCCACACCCUGACACAUCGCCACACCCCAAACAUGUCCCCACACACCCCAGUGCGCCUGGGGUAUCCCAGGCCAGGCCCCAUUAUGGGCCCCACAGCCAUGCGUCUCCCCGUGACCCAUCCUGGGCUCCUCAAAGGGGGUCCCUGCCCCACUGAGGGCUCACCCCACAGUUGCUGA